CCUGGCCCCAAGUGAUCCUCCUACCUCGUCCUCCCAAAAUCCCAAGUAUGAGCCACUGUGCCCAGCCCAUUACUCCUUUUUGCAUGUAAUUGCUUUAAACGCUCGUUAGAUCACUGGACAAUAUCCAAGUCUCUCCUGGCGAAAGGAAAGAUAGCCAGUGUUUGUAAACAACCCACAAAAGAAGGCAACAGCAAAUUCUGAGAUGAUUUUAUUCUUCCUUUGUAUUACCCAGACCGAAGGGGUUUGAAGUCUUGAGAAUUUGCAGUCUCGUUUCAGACUCUCCCGUCUCCUUUUUUCAGCAUCGAGUGAACAGGGUUUUGCUCCUCCCCUAUGAAGAGUUUUUUGUGCUAUUGAAGCAGGGCUGAUUUCCGUAUCUGGAAGGGGCAUCUUGGGGGCAGAGUGUACACAGUGAUUUCCUUAGGACCGGAAGGAUUACAGCCCGACUUUCUCUAUAGAGCACCUUCCCUUUGCCUAAAAGGCACUAUGUCAAAUGUUACCAGCAGGUCGAGGGAUUCCCUACCUCCCGUGCUAUCUGUUUGGAGCUGUUGGCAUCAUGUUCCUGGGGCUCCGAAGCUGCUGGGAAACAGGAGUGUUCUGCUUGAAUUCCCUCCUCCCCACCAUGAGACCCCUUUUUGAUUCUUUUCUAUCUCAGGACAGAGCAGACUCUGCUGGCAGUUUUCUGGCAGCUGCUUUUGUGUCUCACCUGGCUGCUGGUCAUAAGAGUUCACGAGCAUUUCCUGGGUGACUGCCAGGGAGCCGUUGUGGGUUUGGGGGUGACUCCCAGGAGCUUACACACGAAGGGGUAGAUGUGGAUGCUGUUAAAAGUCUCGGCCAGGCCAUUCCUCUUGAAAUCUGGCCCGAAAUCUCUGAAUAUGGUCUUCAUAUCCAUGAGGACAUUAUCAAAGCCAUGGCUGCCUUUGUUGAAACACAUUAUAAUUCUCUGAAAAAUAAUAAAAAUAAAAAAGCCAUUUUAGAUUCCAAUCCGCUGAAAGAAAACUGUCCGUUAGUUAAUGUCAUGCUUGUUGGAUCCAUGAAGUCUUUGAGAAUUUAAACUACAAGGAC
rnacentral:lncRNA from 10 species